UACAGAGGGGGCAAGCGUUGUUCGGAAUUACUGGGCGUAAAGGGUGCGUAGGCGGCUCAGUAAGUCGGAUGUGAAAACUCGGGGCUCAACCCCGAGACGCCAUCCGAUACUGCUGUGGCUUGAGUCUGGUAGGGGAACACGGAAUUCCUGGUGUAGCGGUGAAAUGCGCAGAUAUCAGGAGGAACACCGAUGGCGAAGGCAGUGUUCUGGGCCAGUACUGACGCUGAGGAGCGAAAGCGUGGGUAGCAAACAGG
rnacentral:rRNA from 1 species